UACGGAGGUGGCAAGCGUUGCUCGGAAUCACUGGGCGUAAAGGGCGCGUAGGCGGGGAGGUAAGUCGGGUGUGAAAUCCCUCGGCCCAACCGAGGAACUGCGCCCGAGACUGCUUCUCUUGAGUCCCGGAGAGGAAGAUGGAAUUCCCGGUGUAGCGGUGAAAUGCGUAGAGAUGUGGAGGAACACCAGUGGCGAAGGCGGCUUUCUGGUCUGUAACUGACGCUGAGGCGCGAAAGCGUGGGGAGCAAACAGG
rnacentral:rRNA from 1 species